UAGGGAAUCUUCCGCAAUGGACGCAAGUCUGACGGAGCAACGCCGCGUGAGUGAAGAAGGAUUUCGGUUCGUAAAACUCUGUUGUUAGAGAAGAACAGCGCAUAGAGUAACUGUUAUGCGUGUGACGGUAUCUAACCAGAAAGCCACGGCUAACUACGUGCCAGCAGCCGCGGUAAUACGUAGGUGGCAAGCGUUGUCCGGAUUUAUUGGGCGUAAAGCGAGCGCAGGCGGUCAAUUAAGUCUGAUGUGAAAGCCCCCGGCUCAACCGGGGAGGGUCAUUGGAAACUGGUUGACUUGAGUGCAGAAGAGGAGAGUGGAAGUCCAUGUGUAGCGGUGAAAUGCGUAGAUAUAUGGAGGAACACCAGUGGCGAAGGCGACUCUCUGGUAUGUAACUGACGCAGAGGCUCGAAAGCGUGGGUAGCAAACAGG
rnacentral:rRNA from 1 species